rnacentral:pre_miRNA from 14 species
CGUGACCUACCCUGUAGUUCCGGGCUUUUGUGGUUAACAAAAAUAUAUUAUCAGAAGCUCGUUUCUAUAGAGGUAUCUCACAG